GACGAACGCUGGCGGCGUGCCUAAUACAUGCAAGUCGAGCGGACGAAUCGAAAGCUUGCUUUUGAUUCGUUAGCGGCGGACGGGUGAGUAACACGUGGGCAACCUGCCCUGUAGACGGGGAUAACACCGAGAAAUCGGUGCUAAUACCGGAUAACACGAAAUGUCGCAUGACGUUUCGUUGAAAGACGGCGCAAGCUGUCGCUACAGGAUGGGCCCGCGGCGCAUUAGCUAGUUGGUGAGGUAACGGCCCACCAAGGCGACGAUGCGUAGCCGACCUGAGAGGGUGAUCGGCCACACUGGGACUGAGACACGGCCCAGACUCCUACGGGAGGCAGCAGUAAGGAAUCUUCCGCAAUGGACGAAAGUCUGACGGAGCAACGCCGCGUGAGCGAAGAAGGCCUUCGGGUCGUAAAGCUCUGUUGUUAGGGAAGAACAAGUAACGCAGUAACUGGCGUUACCGUGACGGUACCUAACGAGAAAGCCACGGCUAACUACGUG
rnacentral:rRNA from 1 species